rnacentral:rRNA from 1 species
UACGUAGGGUGCGAGCGUUGUCCGGAAUUAUUGGGCGUAAAGGGCUCGUAGGUGGUUUGUCGCGUUGUUCGUGAAAACUCACAGCUUAACUGUGGGCGUGCGGGCGAUACGGGCAGACUGGAGUACUGCAGGGGAGACUGGAAUUCCUGGUGUAGCGGUGGAAUGCGCAGAUAUCAGGAGGAACACCGGUGGCGAAGGCGGGUCUCUGGGCAGUAACUGACGCUGAGGAGCGAAAGCGUGGGGAGCGAACAGG